rnacentral:Y_RNA from 1 species
GGCUGGUGCGAAGAUAGUGAGUUAUCGCGACUGUUUGGUUACAGAUCAAAUGCCUUGUUCUACUUUAUUCCCCCUUCUCACUACUGCACUUGACUAGUCUAAA